UGAUAAUCAUGAAGACAUCCUCCAUUAAUUAAUUGUCACAUACACACGCUUUAGUCUGUUCUAAGCAUAAUCACCGGGACACCAUACAUCUGGUUCACAAAAGGAUAGCGAAAAGAAGCUAGUAUGAGACAUGAGUUGUACAAAAUGAAAGCUAAAUAUCCAGGUGACAUGGAUCGCUGGCUUCAUGGUUCCUUGUGAGUGUUGUCCUUUUUUUUGCUUCCUACGAAAGUUGAACAAGUCUCAGUUAUAAUAAUACAAUAUCAUAAACUGCAUUCUCUUUGCUUGUUUUUAUUUUGCAAACAUUUCAUAUGUGAGUAGUCUUUUUUUUGUCAAGUGAAUCACAUGUUAAUAGAAAUGAUACCAUAUCUCAAAACUAUUUACAUGUCAAUCAUAUUGAUUGCUUACACACUAGUCUCUAGAAAUAAUAGAAGCGCAUACCUAGCUUCAUACCAAAGAGUCAAAAAAGAUCACCUAAGGGAUGCAAUCAAAACAUGUAACAAUUAAAUAACAAUGUGAAAGCAUGAUAUGUCGUUUUUUGUUUACUUCCUAUAGUUAAAUAACAUGUAACAAUUAAACAUGUAAUUAUUUAAUCUUUUUGUCCACAUAUAUAUGCUAGUAGGAUAUAGUACACAGGAGCAAAAAAAUCUGUAUUUGUUAUAGUACUUCAUGCAUAUAUAAAAGUCUCAUGUUACACACAGGGGUGAGCAGAGGAACUACCAGGGAGGAGCUCAGGGGGGUCGGGGUGGAUGAAGGGGAGCAGAUCCGAUCGGGAAAGGAGCCGACGACUUCUUUUCUCCUCUCUAUAUGAAGCCCCUCACGAACCCUAUCCUGAUCCCUCUCUUGCCGCCGCCAAGCUAUUUUUUGUAGUCCAACGACGAUGUUGGAGAGGGGGAGGACGGACAAGGCAGGGUGGUGGAGACGCUGGAGAACAAGCGGGAUAGGGGGCGACAACCUUGCCGGCCGGAGAGCACGUAGAUGGACGGCGAGAGAGAGUUCGAGCGGCGGCGGCGGGGGAUUUAGUUUGGAGGAAGAUAAGAUUUGGGGGCAGUCUGGCACCGAUGGAGGCAGAACGAGGAAAAAGGAGGGAUUUUUCAUGUAGUGGGCUGUUUUUGCGCCUAAGUUUUCAUCCCCACGCGCGCAGCCAUCUGGCCGGUCCAUUUACCCACAAGAAAUUGGUCGGCGUUUCAUUCCCGACCAACAAUCCAAAGGGAAGUGAAGUAUUCCCGACCGAUAGUAUGACGUAGGAUAAUAAAGUAUUCUCGGCCGAUAGUUGGGCACUAUAUGUGAGUAUUGCCGACCAACAGUCUAAUACAAGUUUUCCUGACCAACAGUCCGUUGGUAUAACACACGUGUGUAGGGAAUGUGGUGUCGUGGUAUAGUGCUGGUCCAACUGGCCGCCUUGGGAAGGUCGGGAACCUCGCCCCCGAUCGGAGAUCGAGUUUGGGAACCUAGAGUUCAUCGCUGACUCCUAGGGAGAUUUUAUUUUCAGAAAACUUUGGGCUCCCCUUGAAGAGCUCUCGAGCCCCGACGCCUUGACAUCAGAAGUGGUGGACCACGCCAUCAAGGCGGCCUCUAAUGUCUACUACACAACUUGUUCUUGUAGACUCGUGUUGGGUCUCCAAGCACAGAGUAUUGUAGGACAGUAGCAAAUUUCCCUUAAGUGGAUGAACUAAAGUUUAUCAGUCCAUGGGAUGCGUAAGAUGAAGAUGGUAUCUCUCAAACAACCAUGCAACUAAAUAAUAAAAAGUCUCUUGUGUCCCCAACACACUAAAUAUAAUGGUAAAUUGUAUAGGUGCACUAGUUUGACGAAGAGAUGGUGAUACAAGUGUAAUACGGAUGGUAGAAACAUAUUUUUAUAAUUUAAAUAAAUAAAAAUAUCAAGGUAGAAAUUCAUAAAAUGUUGCAUAAACGGUAUUGCAAUGCUUGAAAAUGAGGCCUAGGGUAUGUACUUUCACUAGUGCAGUCUCUCAACAAUGCUAAUAUAAUUGGAUCACAUAACAAUCCGUAAACAUGCGAUAAAGAAUCAUUCCAAAGCUCCUAUCUAAUGGAGAAAAUAACAAAAUAUCAUUUGUAGGGUACUAAACCACCUCAAAAUUAUUCUUUCCGAUCAAACUUUCCAAGAGUUUGUACUAAAAUAACACCAUUGAUACAUAUCAAUCAACCCUAAUGUCACCUAUAUACUCCAAUGCCACCUCAAGUAUGUGUGGGCUAAUUAUAUGACACGCAUAAUUUUUUUUCAGAUUAUUAAUAUUCAAUCCAAUACAAAGAAAUCCAAGGAGCACCCCAAGAUUUCUAUCGGAGAACAUAGUAUGAAAACGUGCAAUCAACCCCUAAGCCUAGAUCCCCAAGGUCACCGGAAUCCGCAAGUUGAUGCCACAACAUAUAUCAAGUGAAUCACUUGAAUACCCCGAUGUCACUAUGGAUAUCCGCAUGCAAGACAUACAACAUGUGCUCUCAAGCUUGAAUAUUCAAUCGAACAUAACGAGAUUUUAAAGUGAAAGAUUCAAUUCAUCACAACAAUAACAUGUGACAAACACCAUAUGACCCAACUAUAUUAACAAGGCCCGUGAUAUAUCAAGAGCAUGACAUCUCAAGAACACGAGAGAGAGAGAGAGAGAGAGAGAUUGAACACAUAGCUACUGGUACAAACCCUCCUCAUCAUGGCCUCCGUCGGGAUGAUGGAGAUGGCCACCGGAGAUGAUCUCCCCCUACGGCAGGGUGCCAGAACAGGCUCCCUAUUGAUUUUUCAUGGCUACAAAGGCAUGCGGCGACUGAAAUUCUCCUCUAGAGUUAUUUCUGGAGGUUUCUCUAUUUAUAGGA
rnacentral:lncRNA from 1 species